ACCUUAUCAAGAAAGGCAGAGGGAAAUGGCCCUGCGAAGCCUUAGCAACCAUCUUGUUCCACCAGACAGGAAAGGUGCUACAUCCAUCCCGGAUCAAAACCGGGAAAGAUAAGUC
rnacentral:ncRNA from 1 species